UGCUGCUUGUUCCUGCCUCACUUCCUGCUCCUGCUUUACUUCCUGCUCCUUUGCUUCCUGUUCCUGCUUCACUUCUGAUUCCUACUUUGCUUCCUGCUUCUGCUUGGCUUCCAGUCUCGCCCUUCAGCUCCCACUCCUCAUCCUGCUCCUGCCACUGCUGCCCCACAGCAUGACUUCCUGUUGGUGGCAGAAACUUCAAACGGCCUGGAUGGCCAUCCGCAGGUGCCCACCUGAGCAAGUGUGGCCCAUGCGCCCUGGGACUCACUGCCCCGCUGUCAGAGAGUAUGCGCUGCAGCUUCACGCCACAGCAGGCAUGGCCUCCGAAAUAGUGCCUGACAUGGAAGAAGCCAGAUGACACUGCAAGACUUCAUGGAUAGGAAAUUUCUGGGAGAGGCAAAACGGUAGAGACAAAAAGUAGAUCCGUGGUUCCCUGAGGAUGCGGGUGGGGAUUGACUGCCAGGGGUACAGUGAAGCUUUCUGGACUGAUGUGGCUGCCUUAGAACUGGAUUUUGGUGAUGGUUGCUUAAUUAUACGUUUACUAAAAGCCAUCCAAUGCCAUCUUUACCAUGGGUCAACUGUAUAUUCAUUAUAAUCCUAUAAAGCUGCUUUUAAUAAAAUCAUUGUCC
rnacentral:lncRNA from 10 species